rnacentral:rRNA from 1 species
AUUGAACGCUGGCGGCAGGCCUAACACAUGCAAGUCGAACGAGUGGCGGACGGGUGAGUAAUGUUUCGGGAGCUGCCUGCUGUACGUGGAUAACUACGGGUAACGGUCGCUAAUACCUCAUACUCUCGGAUGUGCGCAGAUGGGAUUAGCUUGUCGGUGGGGUAAAGGCGCACCAAGGCGACGAUCUCUAGCUGGUCUGAGAGGAUGACCAGCGACACUGGCAAUGAGACGAGGUCCAGACUCCUCCGGGAGGCAGCAGUGGGGGAUAUUGGGCAGUGGGCGCAAGGCGGAAACAGCCAUGGCGCGUGUAUGAAGAAGGCCUUCGGGUCUUAAAGUACUUUCAGCGGGGAGGCGUUACCCGCAGAAGAAGCGCCGGCUAACUCCGUGCCAGCAGCCGCGGUAAUUC